GACGAACGCUGGCGGCGUGCUUAACACAUGCAAGUCGAACGGAAAGGCCCUGCUUGCGGGGUACUCGAGUGGCGAACGGGUGAGUAACACGUGGGUGAUCUGCCCUGCACUUCGUGGUAAGCUUGGGAAACUGGGGCUAAUACCGGAUAGAGGACAUCUUGAGGGAGGGGGGUGGAAAGUUUUUUCGGGGUAGGGGGAGCGCGCUGCCGAUCUGCCUGUUGGUGGGGUGGGGGGCGUCCUAGGCGGGGUUGGGGGGACGGCCCGAGAGGGUGUGUGGCCCCAUUGGGAGUGAGAUACGCGCCAGACUCCCACGCGAGGCAGCAGUGGGGAAUAUUGUGCAAUGUGCGCAAGACUGAUGCAGAGCAGCCGCGUGGGCGAUGAAGGCCCUCGCGUUGUAAAAUCCUUUCGCUCGGGACGAAGCGUUUUUGUGACGGUACCUAGAUAAGAAGCACCGGCUAACUACGUG
rnacentral:rRNA from 1 species